GCUGGCCGUCUCAUUAAACCAACAAAGCGUUGAGAGCUAUGGAAUUACAGAGAGGAUUUCCUCUGCUAUACCAGCAAUCUAAAGCUCUAUUGAAGAAGAACCUGUUGCUUUCAUGGAGGAACAAGAGCGCCUCAUUCCUCCAGUUGUUUUCAUCCUUGUUCUUCAUUUUCCUCCUCUUCUGCAUCGAAAAAGCCAUGAACGCUGCCAACUCCGACACCACGGCGUAUAAGUCGGUACUCGAUCCUCAGCCUCUGGUUUCGCCGCCGAUCCCUCCCUGCGAGGACAAGUUCUACAUUAAGAAGCCUUGCUUCGACUUUGUAUGGAGCGGAAACUAUAGCGAUAGACUGAAUCGUAUUGUCAGUUCAAUCAUGGCAAAUAAUCCUGGCAGGGUGAUUACGUCCAAUAAGGUUAAAUCAUUCAGAACAACAGACGAUGUAGACUUUUGGCUUUUGAAUAAUCCUAUGCAUUGCCCUGGAGCUCUGCAUUUCAAAGAUAUAAAUGCCACUGUUAUCAGCUAUGGCGUACAGACUAAUUCUACCCGAGUUAUGAAUCGGGGGUAUUCUGAAGAUCCUACAUUCAAAUUUCAAAUCCCACUUCAGAUUGCAGCAGAGCGUGAAAUUGCUCGGUCUAUCAUUGGAGAUCCAAACUUUAGCUGGGUAGUUGGACUUAAAGAAUUUGCACACCCAGCAAAAAA
rnacentral:misc_RNA from 1 species